rnacentral:rRNA from 1 species
CCUACGGGUGGCAGCAGUGAGGAAUAUUGGUCAAUGGGCUUACGCCUGAACCAGCCAAGUCGCGUGAGGGAAGACUGCCCUAUGGGUUGUAAACCUCUUUUGUCAGGGAGUAACGCCGGCUACGUGUAGCCGGACUGAGAGUACCUGAAGAAAAAGCAUCGGCUAACUCCGUGCCAGCAGCCGCGGUAAUACGGAGGAUGCGAGCGUUAUCCGGAUUUAUUGGGUUUAAAGGGUGCGUAGGCGGAAUGCCAAGUCAGCGGUAAAAUCGCGGGGCUCAACCUCGCUGCGCCGUUGAAACUGGCGUUCUUGAGUGCAGGAGAGGUAAGUGGAAUUCCUAGUGUAGCGGUGAAAUGCGUAGAUAUUAGGAGGAACACCAGUGGCGAAGGCGGCUUACUGCAGCGGAACUGACGCUGAUGCUCGAAAGCGCGGGUAUCGAACAGGAUUAGAUACCCGAGUAGUC